rnacentral:rRNA from 1 species
UACAGGGGGUGCAAACGUUGCUCGGAAUUAUUGGGCGUAAAGCGCGCGUAGGCGGCCGCUUAAGUCGGAUGUGAAAGCCCCUGGCUCAACUGGGGAAGUGCACCCGAAACUGAACGGCUUGAGUACCAAAGAGGGUCGCGGAAUUCCCGGUGUAGAGGUGAAAUUCGUAGAUAUCGGGAGGAACACCGGUGGCGAAGGCGGCGACCUGGGUGGAUACUGACGCUGAGGCGCGAAAGCGUGGGGAGCAAACAGG